rnacentral:lncRNA from 1 species
AUGAACUUGUAUUGCUGCAGUACUGAGAACAUUCUAACUGUCAGGCACGGGAACUGCACUGCUUCAGUCCAGAAAGCUCUGCAGAGGGUGGAGAAAACCAAUGCAUCUCAGGAAUUCCACUUAUACUCAAGAGAACAUUUACAGAGCCUGCAGUUCCAGUGGGAACACGGACUGGACUUUGGACAUGCCUGCUCUACACCUCCUGCUGUCUGGGAGGGGCUAUAUGAGCCUCCAGAGCAAAAAAAAAAAAGAAUUUUCCUCCACAGCUGUUUCUUUGCUGAACUCCAUUCGGUCAUACACACCAUCCCUGAACACUUUAUCGCACACUGACAUAUUAUUGUGUUGUAAUUUUUUUCUGUAAAUCACCCGUUCUGUUUUUAGUUUACACAUACAAGUUACUCAUAUCUAUU